rnacentral:rRNA from 1 species
GACGUAGGGCGCGAGCGUUGUCCGGAUUUAUUGGGCGUAAAGAGCUCGUAGGCGGCUUGUCACGUCGACCGUGAAAACUUGGGGCUCAACCCUAAGCCUGCGGUCCGAUACGGGCAGGCUCGAGUUCGGUAGGGGAGACUGGAAUUCCUGGUGUAGCGGUGGAAUGCGCAGAUAUCAGGAGGAACACCGAUGGCGAAGGCAGGAUCU